rnacentral:misc_RNA from 1 species
UAAGAAAUAUGCGGUGGUUGGUUUAAGGGUGGGCAAGGCCGCGCUAUUAAACAAGUUAUGCUACUUGGUUUGUUUUGUGAUUUGAAGAAAUUGCUGCUGCAACUUCAAUCCUUUCCUGCUGUGGGACUCUCUCAAAGGUUAAUCUCAUAAAAGUUUUGCAUGCAUUUUUCAUGGCCUUUAUGCAUUGGAUGAAUGGUUUCCAGCCAUAAAGAAGGGAAUUUUGAGAGUUGGCAGCACCUCUAGAGACAUUGGGGAAAGCUGCAGCUG